rnacentral:rRNA from 1 species
UACGGGGGGGGCAAGCGUUGUUCGGAAUUACUGGGCGUAAAGGGUUCGUAGGUGGCUCGCUAAGUCAGACGUGAAAUCCCUCAGCUUAACUGGGGAACUGCGUCUGAGACUGGCAAGCUUGAGUGCAGGAGAGGAACGCGGAAUUCCAGGUGUAGCGGUGAAAUGCGUAGAUAUCUGGAGGAACACCGGUGGCGAAGGCGGCGUCCUGGACCAACACUGACACUGAGGAGCGAAAGCCAGGGGAGCAAACGGG